CGGGGUGAGUAAUGUAUGGGGAUCUGCCUGAUGGCGGGGGAUAACUACUGGAAACGGUAGCUAAUACCGCAUAAUGUCUGCGGACCAAAGCGGGGGACCUCCGGGCCUCGCACCAUCAGAUGAACCCAUAUGGGAUUAGCUAGUAGGUAAGGUAACGGCUUACCUAGGCGACGAUCCCUAGCUGGUCUGAGAGGAUGAUCAGCCACACUGGGACUGAGACACGGCCCAG
rnacentral:rRNA from 1 species